rnacentral:rRNA from 1 species
UACGUAGGGGGCUAGCGUUGUCCGGAAUUACUGGGUGUAAAGGGUUCGCAGGCGGAAAUAUAAGUCAGGUGUAAAAGGCGGAGGCUCAACCUCCGUAAGCAUUUGAAACUAUAUUUCUUGAGAUAUGGAAAGGCAAGUGGAAUUCCUAGUGUAGCGGUGAAAUGCGUAGAUAUUAGGAGGAAUACCAGUGGCGAAGGCGACUUGCUGGAAUCUAACUGACGCUGAGGUACGAAAGCGUGGGGAGCAAACAGG